UCUUUAUACAUCUUUUCUUUCCUGGACCCCCGGAGCCUUUGUCGUUGUGCACAGACACCCCCAAAGGAUGGAUUUGUAAUCGCUGACGUUCAACUAGUUACAAGCAAUUCUCCAGAGGAAAAACAGUCCCCUUUAUCAGCUUUUCGGUCCUCUUCCUCUUUAAGAAAGAAGAAUAACUCAGGGGAGAAAGCACUUCCACCCUGGCGAUCUUCUGAUAAGCACCCAACAGAUAUCAUUCGUUUUAAUUACCUAGACAACUGUGACCCCAUGGAGACUGUCUGGCAAGGAAGAAGAAAAAGAAACCAAAUGACCCCAGAUUUCAGCCGACAGUCACAUGAUAAGAAAAAUAAAUUGCAGGACAGAACUAGGCUAAGAAAAGCACAAUCAAUGGUAAGUAUUGUUUAUGAAAGAUUCAUCACCAUAACAUUAAUGAAAAUCUCCAGAUCUCUAAUCCUAUUUGCAAAAUUGAAUUCGUUUAUUUAAUCAGAAUCAUGGAGUGGUGAUUUAAAUUCGGGUUUCUGACACUGACUGGCAGAGAAGCCAUGACCUUGAAGAUACACUUUAUUUAAUCUCUCUGAGCCUCUGUUUUCUCAUCUGU
rnacentral:sRNA from 1 species